rnacentral:lncRNA from 1 species
ACCCCCAGCCCCAGGAAUAGGCUCCUUGGGAUGCCCCAUGCAGCACCACAGCCAGCAGGCAUUCAGCACACUGCCACCUCCUGUUUUCUGAACCUCUAAAAGGAUUCCUUAAAAGCUAGGACUUUAAUCCCUUAUGAAUUCUGUCACUUAGACGUAUUUCUCAGGCUGCAGGAUUUUUUAAAUCUAAGAACUUUGUUUCUGGGGACCUUUAGUUUGCUUUCUGUCAUUUGAGCCCAGGGAUUUACCCACUUACUGAAAUCUACAUUUUUAAAAGACCAGAGACACUAGUAAUUUUAGGAUUUCCCUAUUUAAAAGCAUUCAUGAAACAGUUCCUUUCUGUAUUUUGAUUAGGAUUUCCAGCCUUGAGGGAACCAGGCUUGUACCCUGGACUCUAAAGCAGCAAAAGUAGCACACUUGCCAAAAACAAAAUGAUGAAGGAGGAUUGGCUAGUCAUACUCUGCAGUCAGGAGGACUUUUGUUAAUUUAGUGCUUACCAUUCAGUGCUUACUGAGUGGGUGUGAUGUGCUCUAGAAAAAUAAGGGAGAUAGGAACUUGCAGACCAAUAUCCUAAACUGAAAGACAGUGAUGAGGCAAUUCCCCCAGUGAUGAGAAUGUAUCCCUGGAUUGAAAUUUCAAGAAGCAACAUACACUAGGAGAAGAGUGUCAUCCCAGUCUUUUUGGAAUUACAACACAGAAUGGAAGGGAGCCCUCUGUGGGGUGAUAUUACAAAGGGUCUUGUUUGUCUUUCUUUCUUUUUCUUUUUUCCUUUAAAAAAAAAAAAAAAAGCAUUCCUUACUGGCUUGCUACCAGCAGUUGAACUGUAUUCUUUAUAUAGCUAGAGCUGU